AUUGAACGCUGGCGGCAUGCUUUACACAUGCAAGUCGAACGGUAACAGGCCUUCGGGUGCUGACGAGUGGCGAACGGGUGAGUAAUGCAUCGGAACGUACCCAGAGGUGGGGGAUAACGCAGCGAAAGCUGUGCUAAUACCGCAUGUGAUCUGAGGAUGAAAGCGGGGGACCGAGCAGCAAUGUUUGGCCUCGCGCCUUUGGAGCGGCCGAUGUCGGAUUAGCUAGUUGGUGGGGUAAAGGCCUACCAAGGCGACGAUCCGUAGCUGGUCUGAGAGGACGACCAGCCACACUGGGACUGAGACACGGCCCAGACUCCUACGGGAGGCAGCAGUGGGGAAUUUUGGACAAUGGGCGCAAGCCUGAUCCAGCAAUCCCGCGUGCGGGAAGAAGGCCUUCGGGUUGUAAACCGCUUUUGGCAGGAACGAAACGGUGUCCGCUAAUACCGGGCGCUAAUGACGGUACCUGCAGAAUAAGCACCGGCUAACUACGUG
rnacentral:rRNA from 1 species